AGCAGUCGCCACGGUAAUACGUAGGUGGCAAGCGUUGUCCGGAAUUAUUGGGCGUAAAGCGCGCGCAGGCGGAUCAGUCAGUCUGUCUUAAAAGUUCGGGGCUUAACCCCGUGAGGGGAUGGAAACUGCUGAUCUAGAGUAUCGGAGAGGAAAGUGGAAUUCCUAGUGUAGCGGUGAAAUGCGUAGAUAUUAGGAAGAACACCAGUGGCGAAGGCGACUUUCUGGACGAAAACUGACGCUGAGGCGCGAAAGCCAGGGGAGCGAACGGGAUUAGAUACCCCCGUAGUCCCUGUCUCUUAUACA
rnacentral:rRNA from 1 species